CAAUUACUAAGAAGAUCAGAACUUUAGUUUUUUUUUUUGUUUCUUUGUCUAGCAGUAGCCACAUGAUAUUAUGAGAUUGGAUAGUAUCACUGUAGACAAAUAACAUUUUUGAAUUAUUUUAAUAUUAAUCCGUCAAUUUGAUUUCAACAUUAUAUUGCAAAAAUUGAUGUAAAAAGUAAACAUUCUUUUGAUUUUAAUUGGAUAACUUUUGAGUUACGGACUAGUUUUGGAAGCUACGUCUUUACCAUCGUCACCUUCUUCUUCCACCACAUAAUGUUUUGUUGCAAUUUAUGUAAAUUUCAAGUGCGAUUUAAAAUGCCCCGUAUUUAUAAUAAAUAAAUAUGGGAUCUCUAGAUAUAAAUGCUGUCUUAUAAUAAGUGCAUAUUGUUAACUGGAUGAUAAACAGUUGUCCGAAAAAAAUUAUAAUUGAGUAACGUGGCCCAGUCACAUACUUAGAUACUGCACGAUGAAUAAAAUCCUUCUCAACGUGAUUUUGCAUAACAAAUCGUGAUUUACUUUCGAUAAAUUACCUUCAUUCACUUGCUUUGUUUGGCUUUACUUUCAGAUGCAGGUGAAGCAAUUUUACUAUUCAAUAUAGUAAUAUUUAGUGUUAGCCUAUUAAAGCACCUAUUGGAAUAUUACGCUUUCAAAUCGCUAUAAUUUGAUUUAUUAUAAUUUUUUGAUAACUGCCGCUACCACCCCCAACAUGCUCUUAUCAUCGUUUCGUGCAACAUUUUUUAACUACGUUUAUAUCAUGAGUAUUAAUAAUAGAGAAUUAAAAAGCCGUAAAAUAGCAGCAUUCAUAACAUGUAACCAAAAACAAAAAGUUUCCUAGGUGACCACUAUUAUUAAUUUUUAUUAUUUUUGGUUAUCUAAUUAACGAAAAUAACAAUAUUAUAUUCUUUCAAUACGUAUUAAAGUCUGUUUUUGUUUGGCCGUCGGAUUUUAG